CAACUUUCAGCAACGGAUCUCUUGGCUCUCGCAUCGAUGAAGAACGCAGCGAAAUGCGAUAAGUAAUGUGAAUUGCAGAAUUCAGUGAAUCAUCGAAUCUUUGAACGCACCUUGCGCCCUUUGGUAUUCCGAAGGGCAUGCCUGUUUGAGUGUCUUUA
rnacentral:rRNA from 1 species